rnacentral:rRNA from 1 species
UACAGAGGUCCCAAGCGUUGUUCGGAUUCACUGGGCGUAAAGGGUGCGUAGGUGGCGAGGAAAGUCUGAUGUGAAAUCUCCGGGCUUAACCCGGAAAUGGCGUUGGAAACUACCUUGCUCGAGGAUUGGAGGGGGGACUGGAAUACUUGGUGUAGCAGUGAAAUGCGUAGAUAUCAAGUGGAACACCAGUGGCGAAGGCGAGUCCCUGGACAACUCCUGACACUGAGGCACGAAAGCUAGGGGAGCAAACGGG